rnacentral:rRNA from 1 species
GACGUAGGGCGCGAGCGUUGUCCGGAUUUAUUGGGCGUAAAGAGCUCGUAGGCGGCUCGUUGCGUCGGCUGUGAAAACCCGCAGCUCAACUGUGGGCUUGCAGCCGAUACGGGCGGGCGUGGGAUUCGGGUAGGGGAGGACUGGAAUUCCUGGAUGUAGCGGUGAAAUGACGCAGAUAUCAGGAGGAACACCGAUUGCGAAGGCAGCUCGCUGGGACGUUACUGACGCUGAGGAGCGAAAGCGUGGGGAGCGAACAGG